rnacentral:rRNA from 1 species
AUGGACCAGAUGCACGGCGGUGGCGCCGGCAGGCGGGUGAAGGUGGUGGGGAAGGUAGAGAGGCUCGACGGGCAGUCGCUGACCUACUCCGAGUUCGUCGACCGCUUCAUGAAGCCGAACCUCCCCGUCGUCCUCACGGGCCUCACCUCCUCCUGGCCAUCCUGCGAGGACUGGACGUUCGCCGGCCCCGACGAUCGCCGCCGCCCCAACCUCCCCUUUUUCGCGCAAAACUUCUCCUCCCCUCGCGUUCAGGUUGCCGACUGUUCCGCCAGGGAGUACACUGACCACAAGCGGCUAGAGAUGUCCAUGCAGGAAUUCGUGGACCAUUGGGUUAGGAAUUCGAAUACUGUUUCAAGCAGCGGUCAUUGUGAAGCUUCCUCGCUUUAUCUGAAGGAUUGGCAUUUUGUUAAAGAGUACCCUGAUUAUGUCGCAUACACCACACCACCGUUCUUCGUCGAUGAUUGGCUCAACAUGUAUCUUGACAGUCAUCCCAUGCAUAGAGAUUCUGACAUUGCCAACCACAAAAAUGAAGUAAACUGUGCUGACUAUCGAUUUGUUUACAUUGGAGCAAAAGGAACUUGGACCCCUCUUCAUGCUGAUGUUUUUAGGUCAUACAGCUGGUCAGCAAAUGUGUGUGGGAGAAAACUAUGGCUCUUUCUGGCACCAUCGCAGAGUCAUCUUAUAUUUGAUAGGAACCUACGAUCAUCGGUUUAUGACAUAAAUGAAGAUGUUUCUGAAAAGCAGUUUCCUGAAUUCAAUAAGGCUGAAUGGAUAGAGUGUAUUCAAGAGCAGAAUGAAAUCAUUUUUGUGCCCAGUGGGUGGUACCACCAAGUCUAUAAUCUGGAGGAUACUAUAUCUAUCAACCAUAAUUGGUUCAAUGCCUACAACCUUCAUUGGGUGUGGAACUUGCUUCAUGAAGACCACAAAGUUGCAAAAGAGUAUAUUGAAGACAUCCGCGAUAUAUGUGAUAAUUUUGAGGCGCUUUGUCAACGCAACUUGGCGGCAAAUACAGGCAUGAACUUCCAUGAUUUCUUCAUUUUUAUCACACGGUUUGUUUUGGUCAAUGUAAUUGAGCUUUACCAUGUCCAAGAGCCCGAGGAUGCUAAAGUCAAUUUGCCAGAAGCCACUCACCAUUAUGUGUAUAACCUUAUGCAAAUUCGGGAAGUUGCAUCUAAAAUGAUUUCUGCAGAUGCUUUCAGUAUUGAGAAUCUUUGUGUUAUCUCGGAAGGAAAUCGGAGUGCUAUGUCAGAUGUUACAAAAAUAUUAAAAGACGAUGGCUUCAGAAGGCUAUGGAUGACAUUGUCCGAGGCGUAUGAAUGCAUUCGCAGGGGGCAAAGAAUUUUGUACGAAGUGAGAUAUUUAAAUCAGGAAGGCUGUUUGUCGGUGACCUGUUCGAAAUCUGAUUGUAAUGUUGUUGAUCGCAUUACAUUUUUUAUGCGUGAAAUUCAUGGACCUGAGGAUCUGGUGAGGUUAAUUGAUACUGCUCUACCCGAGAGAUAA